CAGAGGGGCUGACACACCCUCCUCUCCACCGCCGGCUUGGCCCUAGCUGCCCGGGGUUCUCUCAGCAGAUUCCCGAGGCCCGGGCUCGCCGCACGUCCACGCCAGGCCGCGCCCCUCUCUGGCGCGGUCCUGGCGGGCUUUACCUGGGUCUUGUACCCCCGUCCUCCUUGGUUCCGCGGCCCUCCGGGGAGUUGCCGGGCACGGUGGCCCCACAGGGACAAGGCACGAGUGGGCGCGGGGCCGGGGCGGGGCGGCACUGAGCAGGGUGGAGCUCCCCCCUCUUCCUGGCCCCUCCCCCCGCCCUCGGCCCUGGGCUCGGGAGCCCCACACAGCGCGCGGACGCUGGCCCGGGGCCGGCCUGUCCAGCUUCGGACAUCUAUCAGCCGAGGGCCCCCAGAGCGAGUCCCGAAAUGUGUGUGCCUGCUGGGGACCACUCCAUACAUUGGCUCUAUUGACAAAUGGAUCUCUCCGUGCCCAUUGCGUGCCUCUCCUCUUGGCCAAGAAGCGGGAGGCAGGCUUCGUCCUCGUUAUUGUGGAGCCCGACGUGGUCAUGCCAUGGAUCCUGAUUCCGGGAGUCUUCCUGGCUGUUUUCCUUUGGAGUGUUUCCACAUUGUUCUGGUUCUGCUCACGUCUCUACGUCAGUUCAUACAGCACCUCCCAGACUUCUCGGAAGCUGUCUUGGUCAUCUUCCUCACAGACCUGCGAUACUCCAUCAAAACACGCCCUGUGCUGCGUUCAGCCAUUCCCCAACGGCUUGGCACCCCCUUUGUUUCCAGUUUCUGCCACCACAAAGUGUCCGUACAGACGAUUCCUUUUUCUCUUUCUUGGAUCUUUGCGGUCGAGGUCUAGAAGUGCUGUGGCUGAGGGCACACACAGCUCCAAUCGCUUUCCAGAAUGGUGGAGCAAACACGAGCGCCACCAACAAGGCCUUUGUAUUACUGGGUUCCUGCAAUCUGUCCAACGCUUACUUGCCGUCUUUGCCGAUCUGGUAGGUGCUGAGCUUCUCCUUUCAGAGCUCCCUCAGGAACAGGCAGGGAGAAUACAGCUUGUACCUGAUAUUCUGCCAACAUCGCCAUGCCAUCUAUGGAUGGCAAGAAACAAAGCAAGUCCAGAACAACAACCGUUUGAGAACACAGAGCAUAUAUCCCUCCUGACUUUCCUCCAAGGGGAUGGAAUCAUCUUACAGACAGGAUCUCAUUUGUGGUCACUGCAUUCUCUUGAGGUAGGCAGCAAGUCACUAUUAUCAAGAAAACAAGAUUUGAGAUUUCACAGUAGCAGUGAGAGCUGA
rnacentral:lncRNA from 1 species